rnacentral:rRNA from 1 species
AACGAACGCUGGCGGCAUGCCUAACACAUGCAAGUCGAACGAGACCUUCGGGUCUAGUGGCGCACGGGUGCGUAACGCGUGGGAACCUGCACUUAGGUUCGGAAUAACUCCCCGAAAGGGGUGCUAAUACCGGAUAAUGUCUUAGGACCAAAGAUUUAUCGCCUUUGGAUGGGCCCGCGUUGGAUUAGCUAGUUGGUAGGGUAAAAGCCUACCAAGGCGACGAUCCAUAGCUGGUCUGAGAGGAUGAUCAGCCACACUGGGACUGAGACACGGCCCAGACUCCUACGGGAGGCAGCAGUGGGGAAUAUUGGACAAUGGGCGAAAGCCUGAUCCAGCAAUGCCGCGUGAGUGAUGAAGGCCUUAGGGUUGUAAAGCUCUUUUACCCGGGAUGAUAAUGACAGUACCGGGAGAAUAAGCUCCGGCUAACUCCGUG